rnacentral:rRNA from 1 species
AGCCCCUAGGAUAGAUGACUAUUGGGGGUGAAUUCUGCCCGGUGGAUAACUUAACGGCCGCAGUACACUGACUGUGCAAAGGUAGCAUAAUAAUUUGGCCUUUAAUUGAGGUCUUGUAUGAAUGAAAAUUUGUAAGGAAAUUGUCUUCUUUUCCUGUUUAUAGAAGUUGCUAAUUAGGUGAAAAAACCUAACAAUAAAUAAAUAAGACGAGAAGACCCUUUGAGCUUUGUUUAAAAUAAUCAGAGGUUAUUAAAAUUUUGUUGGGGCGGCAAGUAAGCAUCAUGUAAUAGUCAUAAACCUUACAUAUUUAAGUAUAAACAAGAAGUAGGUAUUCGAAUGAAAGAUUAAGCUACCAUAGGGAUAACAGCAUAAUCAUUUAUAUGGAUUGUGACCUCGAUGUUGGACUAGGGACUUUAUGGUGAGAAGCCAAAAAUGGUUGUUCUGUUCGAACACUGUCCCCU